AGUGAACGCUGGCGGUAGGCCUAACACAUGCAAGUCGAACGGCAGCACAGUAAGAGCUUGCUCUUACGGGUGGCGAGUGGCGGACGGGUGAGGAAUAAAUCGGAAUCUACUUUUUCGUGGGGGAUAACGUAGGGAAACUUACGCUAAUACCGCAUACGACCUACGGGUGAAAGCAGGGGAUCUUCGGACCUUGCGCGAUUGAAUGAGCCGAUGUCGGAUUAGCUAGUUGGCGGGGUAAAGGCCCACCAAGGCGACGAUCCGUAGCUGGUCUGAGAGGAUGAUCAGCCACACUGGAACUGAGACACGGUCCAGACUCCUACGGGAGGCAGCAGUGGGGAAUAUUGGACAAUGGGCGAAAGCCUGAUCCAGCCAUACCGCGUGGGUGAAGAAGGCCUUCGGGUUGUAAAGCCCUUUUGUUGGGAAAGAAAAGCAGCAGGUUAAUACCCCGCUGUUCUGACGGUACCCAAAGAAUAAGCACCGGCUAACUUCGUG
rnacentral:rRNA from 1 species